GUUUCAGUCUCAGCCACAAGUAACUCGACUGUCGUCUUCCGGUAGUGAUGCUUCUUUCUGCAAUCUCAUCUCAGACCCUUUUCUCACCGAACCCUAAGUUACUCUUUUGCAAUUGUAUUCCAAACCCUAGACCUUCUAAUUCGUCUCUUAAGCUACCCAAUGCGUCUUCCUCCUCGUCGUCGCCUCCUUCUAUAUACACCCUUCCCACACGCAAUCUCCGUUACGUGAACCACACUUUAUCCGAUGGAGCAUCAGAUUCCGCAGGCGGCGGCGGCAGCGGAGGAGAAACCACCAUGGUGGCGUCUGCCUCGGCCAUCGCUUCCGCGAUUCGUGGAGCUUCAACGACUCCUGUGGAGUUCACACAGUUGAUUGAGAAAGACCAUCUCAAGACGAAGAUCAUCUUGCCAAGCCCCGAUUUCCAGCGUCUUUGCCUCGAGCAAUUGGAUCUGUUUCGUCGAAUCGUGGAUCCAAACGCAAUCCUCUCGAUAUAUGUGAGACCAGCUGGUAGCUACGUGAUGGAUCGAUUGGAGCUGCGUCGUGUCACUUGUUACCCAAGUGUUAAUGCCGGAGACGUUGUGAUCUUAGUCGGAAACUUUGGCAUACCCGCCGGUCUUCGAGCGGCUGAAGCGUCACUCUCCAGUCAACAAGUAGAAGUUGUGAAUAAACAUAGAGCUGCAGUGUUUCCAAUGGUGAAACACCCAUUUGUUGUUGGUUUCUUGGUUGCUGAGUUACCAUUAGAAGCUGAGGAGGAGGAGGGGAAGGAGGAGGAGGAGGAGGAAAGAUCGUGUGGUUUAAAGCAUUUUCCUUCACCUGAGGAAGCUUAUGCUUUGCCUGGUUCAGCUGAUGCAAAGCCACCAAAAGUUAAGGUUCCGUCUGUUAAGGUGUUCACUGCAGAGCAGAGGUCUUAUGCCAUUAAUAUUUCACGGACUCUCGCUAUGGCAUAUGUCAUGGAUCAGAAAACAAUGCUGCUUCAACAGUCAUCUUGGCAAAACAAUGUGAGGAUGAGUAAGCUAGUGGAGCAGAUCCGUGGUCCUCUCUCUACCAUCAGGACUUUAAGUAAAAUGCUUUCAACUCAUACGAAGAGAAAUCAGAUUUCACAUGAUAUUGUCGAAGACUUAAUAGUUCAAGGCGAACAAAUAAGAGACACCCUUCAAGAACUUCAGGAUGCAGUUCACUUGACAAAGGCUAAUAUAGUCCGCCACAACGAAGAAGCCCUGAAGAAGAUAAACAAAACACAUAAUGAAACAAGGAGAUCAAAGUAUUCCGGUAACUAUGAACAUAAGGAUCCCAUUGAUGGGUCACAAGUCCCGAGUCCACGCCUUUCCCUGGGUUCUGGAUCAGAUGAUUCAGAAGUGCCUAUGCCACCUAUGGCCCUUGCACCCCUAAAAACACACAGCAUAAGGAAGACCAUGCGACAUUUCUAAUGUGCUUAUAGAUAUGGUCGAGACUGUGAGACCACUUGCCCUUACUCAGCAAAGAGUGGUGGAGCUAGGUGAAAACUCAGCUUCCCUACAAGUCGCUGUUGAAGAACCGGCUUUGAGGCAGGCUCUGAGCAACCUCAUCGAAGGUGCACUGUUGCGCACUCAUGUUGGAGGAAAAGUCGAAAUUUUGUCGACCAGAGCUCCUGCCGGUGGUAGUCUGGUUGUAAUUGAUGAUGAUGGUCCUGACAUGCGCUAUAUGACGCAAAUGCAUUCGCUAACACCAUUUGGAGCAGAACUCCUGUCGGAAAACAUGGUUGAAGACAAUAUGACAUGGAACUUUGUGGCUGGUUUAACCGUAGCCCGAGAGAUCCUGGAGAGUUACGGAUGCGUGAUCAGGGUUAUAUCACCUCGUAGCUCCGAUGCAGCCUUAGGAGCUGGUGGUACUCGUUUAGAGCUAUGGAUCCCUCCCUUCACCGCAACAGUAUCUGAAGGCAAUGAAGCAUAAAUUUCAUUUGCUUCUCUUUGUCUUGUUAAAUAUCUUAGCCUCGAGUAUUUUGCUUUGCCUUAUGUUUGGUGAAGCCAAUGUAUAGUCUAUUUUUUGGGUUUGAUUUGUUGAUCAAUGUGUAAUAAUAAUAACUUAUUAUGUACAUAACCCGAAAGAGUCUUUGUCUACUUAGGUUAAAGACUUAGUAACGUAAAUAUAUAGCUCUAUUCUUGUGACAGUAUUAUAUAUGUAAAGACUUUGUAACGUAGACUUGAACAAAAUUGUUUAUUACACAUU